rnacentral:rRNA from 1 species
CUAGCGACUUCAGAGUUUGAUCCUGGCUCAGGAUGAACGCUAGCUACAGGCUUAACACAUGCAAGUCGAGGGGCAGCAGGGAUUUAGCUUGCUAAAUUCGCUGGCGACCGGCGCACGGGUGCGUAACGCGUAUCCAACUUUCCCGUUACUCUCGGAUAGCCUUCCGAAAGGGAGAUUAAUACGAGAUGGUGUUUUAAUUCCGCAUGUUAUUAGAACUAAAGAUUCAUCGGUAACGGAUAGGGAUGCGUGACAUUAGAUAGUUGGCGGGGUAACGGCCCACCAAGUCUACGAUGUCUAGGGGUUCUGAGAGGAAGGUCCCCCACACUGGAACUGAGACACGGUCCAG